UUGCAUUUGAAGCCCAUGAGGAUGAGAACCUCCGGGGGCGGGGAGGUUCGACUCGAGCGAAGCGAGAGAACGUUGCGCCAGCAAC
rnacentral:sRNA from 2 species